UUUUUUUUUUCCCAUACAAUGGACUAUUCAUGAAUAUAAGCUAAUUGUUAAUAUCCUUUAAGUUGAUCCUGGCCACUCUCCAAAGUGAGGAUAAACUCCAAACUUUUGAAUCUCAAUUUAUGGUUUACUCAGAAAUAUCUUCCAAAGUAUUCAGUGAAGAAUUCAUGGAAAUAAGCCUUUGAAAUCUAAAAAAGGUUUCAGUUACUAUUAACUGCCAGUGAUGUACUCAAUAUACUUAUUAGAUAUUUAAUCUAGAUUUGUCUCAUCUCUUUUAUGGGAGGGGGUUUUGCAUGACAGAAGGAGAGUAGGGUUAGGGGCCAGGAAGCCCUAGGUUGGAAUUUGCCCCUGACAUUCAAUAGACCUGAACUACUGGAGACAAAUUUGACUGUGAAUCUAAGUGGUUUUAUUUACAAAAUUAAAAGCCUAUGAUUCCACUGUUGUCUUGUAGAUCUUACUGAGAAGGUCUAUGUCUUCUGUCCCCCACCCAAUAGAAUUCAAAAUGAAAACAUACCAGUGAAAUAAAGUUAAGCUCAUUUCUGCUUUUUUCCACUAAUGUCUAUUCUAGUAACCUUUUCAAAUACUAACAAUGUUUUUUCAAAGAACAUUAUUGGUAUUUAUUUAGUCCUUGUCUUUGUUGGUGCUCUACAUUUGAACUCACAGAAUAUCCUUGGAUACAGUAAUGUUUGUGUUGCAGGGUUUUGUUUUGUUUUGUUUUGGUAAGAAUUAAAUGAGAGCAAAGUGUUAACUGCUUGAGAAAGUAGCUAGCCCACACAGCCUUCAUAAAUAAGGGCAUUCAUGCAAGACAAGUCUUUACAGCUGUAUCCUAAGUCCAAGGCAGUACAGCUCAUGCAGGAGCCACAACUAUACUCACAUAUUGGAAAUCCACAUCUUUCAAAUGCCAACAAAAUAGUAUUAGGGCUGUGUUGUAUUUCAUGGUUAUGUGGUUAUUUGUUCAACCAUUAAAAUUAUUUCCACAAUAACGAGAAACUAUUUCCUUUAUACAUCAAAACUAGAUGCCCUUGUAUUCUGAAUAGAAGUAAAUAAUGAAUUAAUUUCCAGGAAAUUUAAACCAUAUUUAACUAGAUGAGUUAAAAUACAUCUUUCAAAGCUCCAGGAAAAUGAGCCUCUAAUUAUUGAA
rnacentral:lncRNA from 1 species